rnacentral:rRNA from 1 species
ACAGUGGACGCGAGCAUCUUUGUUGUAAGUGUUUAAGAGCGUACGGUGGAUGCCUUGGCACCAGGAGCCGAUGAAGGACGUAGGAGGCUGCGAUAAGCCUCGGGGAGCUGUCAACCGAGCUGAGAUCCGAGGAUGUCCGAAUGGGGAAACCCAGCCACAGUGAUGUGUGGUUACCCGCGCCUGAAUAUAUAGGGCGUGUGGAGGGAACGUGGGGAAGUGAAACAUCUCAGUACCCACAGGAAGAGAAAACAACAUGUGAUUCCGUGAGUAGUGGCGAGCGAAAGCGGAAGAGGCUAAACCAUGGGUGUGUGAUAGCCGGCGGGCGUUGCAUUCGUGGGGUUGUGGGAUCCGUCUUGUCAAUUCUGCCGGAUUGGCCGACAGUGAGAAAUCAUCGUGUUAGUCGAAGUGGUCUGGAACGGCCUGUCGUAGAGGGUGAGAGUCCCGUAGACGAAAACAUGGUGACUGUCGUGACGGACACCCGAGUAGCAGCGGGCCCGUGAAAUCUGCUGUGAAUCUGUCGGGACCACCCGAUAAGCCUGAAUACUCCCUGGUGACCGAUAGCGGACUAGUACCGUGAGGGAAAGGUGAAAAGUACCCCGGGAGGGGAGUGAAAUAGUACCUGAAACCGUGCGCUUACAAUCCGUCAGAGCCUGCGCCACUUCGGUGGGUGGGUGAUGGCGUGCCUUUUGAAGAAUGAGCCUGCGAGUUAGCGGCAUGUCGCGAGGUUAACCCGUGUGGGGUAGCCGUAGCGAAAGCGAGUCCGAAUAGGGCGUUUGUAGUGGCAUGUUCUAGACCCGAAGCGGAGUGAUCUACCCAUGGCCAGGGUGAAGCGACGGUAAGACGUCGUGGAGGCCCGAACCCACUUAGGUUGAAAACUGAGGGGAUGAGCUGUGGGUAGGGGUGAAAGGCCAAUCAAACUCCGUGAUAGCUGGUUCUCCCCGAAAUGCAUUUAGGUGCAGCGUCGCGUGUUUCACUCUGGAGGUAGAGCUACUGGAUGGCCGAUGGGCCCCACAAGGUUACUGACGUCAGCCAAACUCCGAAUGCCAGAGUGUGAGAGCGCGGCAGUGAGACUGCGGGGGAUAAGCUUCGUAGUCGAGAGGGAAACAGCCCAGAUCGCCGGCUAAGGCCCCUAAGCGUGUACUAAGUGGAAAAGGAUGUGGGGUCGCGAAGACAACCAGGAGGUUGGCUUAGAAGCAGCCACCCUUGAAAGAGUGCGUAAUAGCUCACUGGUCAAGUGAUCCUGCGCCGACAAUGUAGCGGGGCUCAAGUACACCGCCGAAGCCGCGGCAUUCACAUAACACCCAUGCGGGUCUACGGGCCUGUGUGCAGUGGUGUGGAUGGGUAGGGGAGCGUCGUGCAGCCAUGGAAGCGCCGGAGUGAUCCAGGUGUGGAGGCUGCACGAGUGAGAAUGCAGGCAUGAGUAGCGAAAGACGAGUGAGAAACUCGUCCGCCGAAUGACCAAGGGUUCCUGGGCCAGGUUAAUCCGCCCAGGGUGAGUCGGGACCUAAGGCGAGGCCGACAGGCGUAGUCGAUGGACAACGGGUUGAUAUUCCCGUACCCGUGUGAACGCGCCCCUGGUGAAUCAGUGAUGCUAAGCGCCCUGAAGCCGCCUUCGAACCUUCGGGUUCUCCGGUGUGUGGAUGCGCGUGAACCGAUCUGGUAGUAGCCAAGCGAUGGGGUGACGCAGGAAGGUAGCUGAGCCAGUCAGUGGUAAUACUGGUGUAAGCGUGUAGGGCGUGACCUAGGCAAAUCCGGGUCACAUACAGCCUGAGACGUGAUGCGUAGCCGAUUGAGGCGAAUUCAGUGAUCCUAUGCUGCCGAGAAAAGCCUCUAGCGAGCUUUCACACGGCCCGUACCCCAAACCGACACAGGUGGUCAGGUAGAGAAUACUAAGGCGAUCGAGAUAACUGUGGUUAAGGAACUCGGCAAAAUGCCCCCGUAACUUCGGGAGAAGGGGGGCCUCGUCUGGUGACGGAACUUGCUUCCUGAGCUGGGUGGGGCCGCAGAGACCAGAGAGAAGCGACUGUUUACUAAAAACACAGGUCCGUGCGAAGUCGUAAGACGAUGUAUACGGACUGACGCCUGCCCGGUGCUGGAAGGUUAAGAGGACCGGUUAGCCAGUAAUGGCGAAGCUGAGAAUUUAAGCCCCAGUAAACGGCGGUGGUAACUAUAACCAUCCUAAGGUAGCGAAAUUCCUUGUCGGGUAAGUUCCGACCUGCACGAAUGGCGUAACGACUUCUCUGCUGUCUCAACCACAGACUCGGCGAAAUUGCAUUACGAGUAAAGAUGCUCGUUACGCGCGGCAGGACGAAAAGACCCCGGGACCUUCACUAUAGCUUGGUAUUGGUGUUCGGUUCGGUUUGUGUAGGAUAGGUGGGAGACUGUGAAGCGGGCACGCCAGUGUUCGUGGAGUCGUUGUUGAAAUACCACUCUGAUCGUAUUGGACAUCUAACCUCGGACCAUGAUCUGGUUCAGGGACAGUGCCUGGUGGGUAGUUUAACUGGGGCGGUUGCCUCCCAAAAUGUAACGGAGGCGCCCAAAGGUUCCCUCAGCCUGGUUGGCAAUCAGGUGUCGAGUGCAAGUGCACAAGGGAGCUUGACUGUGAGACUGACAGGUCGAGCAGGGACGAAAGUCGGGACUAGUGAUCCGGCACCGGCAAGUGGAAGCGGUGUCGCUCAACGGAUAAAAGGUACCCGGGGAUAACAGGCUGAUCUUCCCAAGAGUCCAUAUCGACGGGAUGGUUUGGCACCUCGAUGUCGGCUCGUCGCAUCCUGGGGCUGGAGUAGGUCCCAAGGGUUGGGCUGUUCGCCCAUUAAAGCGGCACGCGAGCUGGGUUUAGAACGUCGUGAGACAGUUCGGUCUCUAUCCGCGCGCGCG